rnacentral:SRP_RNA from 1 species
GGUCGGGCCUCGCACGGAAAGUCUUGGUGAACCCCGUCAGGUCUGGAAAGAAGCAGCGGAAGCGAAGUACUUUCGCGUUGCGAAUCAGUCCGAUUCAG